GCAAGUCGAGCGAGAAAGGCCUUCGGGCUGAGUACAGCGGCGGACGGGUGAGUAACGCGUAGGAAUCUACCUGGUAGUGGGGGACAACUUGUGGAAACGCAAGCUAAUACCGCAUACGCCCCAAGGGGGAAAGCGGGGGAUCUUCGGACCUCGCGCUAUCGGAUGAGCCUGCGUAGGAUUAGCUAGUUGGUGGGGUAAUGGCCUACCAAGGCAACGAUCCGUAGCUGGUCUGAGAGGACGACC
rnacentral:rRNA from 1 species